AACUCUACACAAUAUCCAUUUCUUUGAUCCCCGUCUUUUUCCUUUUCUUAUAUUUAUCCACAUAAUCAUGAGCCUUUUCUUUGUUUUUUUUUCUUUGCUUUAUGGUUUCAAGGGUGAUUUCUUUUUCUUGUUUCUUUUCAUAUUUUCACCCUUUCAUAAAAACUCACUUUUCCAAGUUUCUAAUCAAAUCUUUUUUCUUUACUCUCCCAAACUUUAGAUUCCAAAACCAAAUUUAUUCAAU
rnacentral:lncRNA from 1 species